ensembl:lncRNA
GUUUGUUUGCAUGUGUAGAUUGGAGAGGUUGUUACCGACAUCUGAUAGUUUCAUAGGCCUGCAGCUUCUUGUUUUGUCCUCUGCUUAUCCCGUUUCCCCAAAUAUUUAAGGACACACUACACACCAUGCCGAUAUAUCCCAUGAUAUCAGGUGCCCACUCCUGAGAUCCGCGCUCACAGCCUUUACUUUGACCUGUCUGCCUAUGGAGUGGAGGCCUUCAGAGAGCACAGAAACCAAACCACCAAGCCUGGCUUUCACUUGAAGAUCUAUGGCACUUUCAGAAACCGCUACAUGGCCCUUGUCUGCCCUGCCUCUGACACCAAGAUGGUUCGCUUUCUUAGGCAAACUGCACACUCCUCUAUCAUGAAGAACAUUUUCCAUCAAUCUUUCAAUGCUUAUAAGACAGACAUAGAGCCUCGUCUCAACGAUGUGACCCUCCAUCACAUGCAGUGCAGCCGUCGUCUCUUUGAGAUUCAGCUGUCGCACAGACGCAUCAGUGCUGCCUACAUAGAAG